rnacentral:rRNA from 1 species
UGGGGAAUAUUGGACAAUGGGCGAAAGCCUGAUCCAGCCAUGCCGCGUGUGUGAAGAAGGUCUUCGGAUUGUAAAGCACUUUAAGUUGGGAGGAAGGGCAUUAACCUAAUACGUUAGUGUUUUGACGUUACCGACAGAAUAAGCACCGGCUAACUCUGUGCCAGCAGCCGCGGUAAUACAGAGGGUGCAAGCGUUAAUCGGAAUUACUGGGCGUAAAGCGCGCGUAGGUGGUAUGUUAAGUUGGAUGUGAAAUCCCCGGGCUCAACCUGGGAACUGCAUUCAAAACUGACUGACUAGAGUAUGGUAGAGGGUGGUGGAAUUUCCUGUGUAGCGAUGAAAUGCGUAGAUAUAGGAAGGAACACCAGUGGCGAAGGCGACCACCUGGACUAAUACUGACACUGAGGUGCGAAAGCGUGGGGAGCAAACA